rnacentral:lncRNA from 1 species
UCGUCACCGCAACGUCAGGAAAGUGCAUAGCUGGUUAGGACCCAUCUGAACUUCAUCUGCUUUCGUGAAUGGUCUCUCCACCGCCAAUUCUCGCACCUUCUCAUGCACCAGAGAUCUGGUCUCAACCUGCAUCUUAAAUAUCGAUCACAACCACCGACCAAAAUAAAAAAAUGUCGAUCGCAACCUUUGAUCUUUGACCAAAUUCUCUACUUAAGGGUCAGAGCUUCCUUGAAGAUAAAGACGGCAUGGGAUGAAUGCAUCGCCGAAGGGCGCGAGUUGUCUAUGCGCAGAGAAAAAGAGUGAAGUAGAGGAGAGAGAGAGAGACAGCUAGGGUUUUUUCUUUUCUUGGGUGUUAGAUUCACUCUUACCAUAUCUUCGACGGUGCAUGAGCGCGCAAGAGAGAGAUUUGCCAUCGACGGUAGCUACAUCGAGGAGAGAGAAUUUACGGUAAGAGCGUUUUCUGUGUUGAAACGAGUUUUGAGGCAAUUCUGGAAUUUG